rnacentral:rRNA from 1 species
UCCGUAGGUGAACCUGCGGAAGGAUCAUAGUAAUCGUCUUUGACGUACGCUUUGCUCUCCGUCGUCCGCGGGACGUUAAGCAGCUCUGGUCCGAGGAUAAUGGACCCCUCUGACCGAGGCUAACUGCGUCGCUCGCCGUGUUACUCCUCCGGGGGCACACGUUAAAGAUCGUUCCGCGUCGUGAGUCUUGAACUGGUUGUAUACCAAAUCGUUUACAACCGGUAGCGAUGGAUCCCUUGGCACGUCAUUCGAUGAAGACCGUUGCAAAUUGCGAUAAAGUGAUGUGAUGCGCAAGUCCACCACUUAUACGUGAAUCAUCGAGUUGUUGAACGCACUGCACCGCGCCCUAAACCGGCUGCGGUAUGCCCCUUUGAGCGUCAUUGUAUCCCUUCGGGAGUCUCUUUUUCAAGAGACCCGAGUUCGGAGUCCUCGGUCCUCUGGGACCGUGUUCUCUCAGAUGCGUCGCGCCGAUCGCCUUGAUGGGUACUCUAAUGCCUGAGUGCGGAGUCCCACUGAAGGCCGAGACGCGCUGGACCGGGCGUUGGGCCCGCUGUCGCCAAGUCCGAACCGCCCUCGUGCGGCUUCGGUACUACAACCACAUGACCUCAUUGGGGUAGGACAACCCGCUAGACUUAAGCAUAUCAAUAAUGCGGAGGA